GGGUGAGUAAUGCCUAGGAAUCUGCCUGGUAGUGGGGGACAACGUUUCGAAAGGAACGCUAAUACCGCAUACGUCCUACGGGAGAAAGCAGGGACCUUCGGCCUUGCGCUAUCAGAUGAGCCUAGGUCGGAUUAGCUAGUUGGUGAGGUAAUGGCUCACCAAGGCGACGAUCCGUAACUGGUCUGAGAGGAUGAUCAGUCACACUGGAACUGAGACACGGUCCAG
rnacentral:rRNA from 1 species